rnacentral:miRNA from 1 species
UCCAGGCUGUCGUCCAUGGAGU